AGAUAGCAAGAGGCGACUGCGCAACCUCAGCACGCCAGGUGUGCGGCGGCGCUUCCCUUCCCCUUCUGUUUUGAUUCGAUUGACCACGUCAGUCUUGCCACCACCAGGAGACCCGGAUCUGCCGGCUCGCAGAAGGGGGAAGAGCUUGCUUGGCAGCCUCCCUCUCGUCGGCUGCUGCUCCCAAGCUCAGCGGUGGGCGGCGCAGAAGGUAGAGGGGCUGUCCUCCGCAGCUCUCUCUUGUAAACAGUCUCAAAGAAAAAUCGUUGCAAUUCAUUUUUUACAGGGACCACACUUUGAAUUGAGCAAGGCUUGAAGGGCUGGCAUUCUCUCUCCCGUUCUCUCAGGACAGAGGCGUGAGCACACACACAAACAGUGUCCAGCAACAGAGAUUUCGCCCUUCCUUGAGGCACUUCAGCAGCUUACUACGAUUUAUCUGUGACUUGGCUUGGACAUAGGAAUGAACAGUUGGCUGCAUAAUACUGUGCAAUACAUGCAUGGUGGAGGUGUUCUUAGGAUCAAUUUCAUUCCUGUUCUCAUGUUUUAAUUCCUUCUGCCAUGGAACAUAUGGAGAAUAAUAUUAGGAGAGAUUAUUUAUGUAUGUAUGUAUAUAUGUAUGUAUUUAUUUAUCAAUUUUUUAUACUGCCCAAAACACGAGUUCUCUGCUCUUUCUCUGAUUUUUAUACCUAGGUCUCUGAUUUUCUCUGAUUUUUAUACCGCCCAAAACGCGAGUUGUCAAUGUGGCUGGGAAUAAGAUUAUACAUUGCACACACUUUGAUUUGCAGCUUAUUUUUAAUUAAACAAAGGCUGGCUUUAGGAUCAGGCAAUCCUAGAGGCCACCAUCUACAACAGAAUUUUGCAGGGGAUUGCUGCAGUCCUGUGCAGUUAUAUUAUUUUACUUAUUUUUAAUUAAACAAAGGCUGGCUUUAGGAUCAGGCAAUCCUAGAGGCCACCAUCUACAACAGAAUUUUGCAGGGGAUUGCUGCAGUCCUGUGCAGUUAUAUGUGUGGGGUUUCACUCAAGUAAGUGGGAUUAACCAUACAUUACAUUACAAGUAAGGAGGGCAGGCCUCAGAAUUUUGACAAACACCAUUCUAAGCCUAUCUUUUCAAUGAAGCCUUUGGCAUAAUUUGGCAUACCAUGGGUGGAUUCAGAUGACCCACUGAAAGUCCAGGUCCUGGGAACCUCUGGUUUCUGGGGAGUGCAUGCUCCCAGCAGGCUUGUCAUCCGCAUCUACCACCUCUGGUUCUGAGCCUUCCAACCAACAUUUGCCCAACAUUCUCCACCCAGCUUCAAAUGAAGGUUACAAAUGGGCAGAGAAAGUCAGAUGGAACACUCGGGAACCGAAGGUUGGCAGCUUUGAAUGAGAUGCCUGCCAGGAGUGCACACUCCCUGGCAACCAGAUUUCGACAGAUAAUCAUCACUUACCUCAUAACUAUGUCCACGUAUGUGUAACUGCAACAACAACAUAUUCAUCUCUUUUUUACCCUUGCUUCCAUGUUGUCCCCUUCUGCUGUUCUCUCCCUAGCAUAAUUUUCUAGAUUGUAAGCCCCUUGGGAUAGAGACAUGUCCUCUCAUUCUUUGUAAAGAGCCAUGUUCAUGCAUAGCACAAUAUAAAACAUGAAUAUGGUUCUACUCAUCACAACCGGAGCAAUUCUUCUUAUUUUCCUUAAGAGGAGAAUUAGGACGAAAGACUAAGUAGAUUGAAAUACUUGAACUGGAGCACACAUUUCACUUCAGUCAUUCUAAACUUCUGUGUAGCUCAAUAUUGUUCUGAUGUCAGACCAUCCUCAGAAUACUUGAUUUAUAUUUGCAUGAAAGUUUGGGUUGGGCCAUGAUCUAAACCAUUUGUAAGAUCAGUAUAUAUGCGGUUAUCUACCUUGAAGUGUCUGCGUGAUAUAUAGGACAGCUUCACAUGAUCAGCUGUAAAUUGUUAAGAAGUCCAGGAGAGGGAACUGGAGGUGUCCACAGCAUGCAAGCUCUUGUGCAGCAUGUUGUCUGAAGCCUCUAAUGUGCCCAGUUACCAACUUCCACCAGAGAUUCUAUUGACUUUUCAAGCCAAUUUCAAAUCUUGGUGAAGAAGCUGGUAGAAUAUCAGAAGGAAACUGACUUGGGCGGCUUCAAAUGAUAUGCUACAUGGGAGUAUAUGUGCCACAGAUAGAGAUGUAAAAUGUCCAUAAAUUUUGAAGUCAUGGAGGGGGAAAAACACCAAUUUCCCAUGAAAAUAAUUGAAUUUUUGGGAAAAGUUGCAAUACUUGUUUUCUAGCACCCUUUACAGGCCUAAAGUCAAAUUGUUUAUUUAGGAACAUUUAUUAUGUAUAACCUGCUUUGCUCUUAAAUUUAUUAUGUUUCGUAUAUUACAUUUAGAAGUAAUGUAUCACUAUACAGUACUUCUUCUGAUCCUUCAUUUUUAUCAACUUAAUGACUCAUUAAAACUGAAUUGCCUGUA